GCAGUCGACGAACGGAUAAAGAGCUUGCUCUUUUGAAGUUAGUGGCGGACGGGUGAGUAACACGUGGGUAACCUGCCUCACAGCUGGGGAUAACAUCGAGAAAUCGAUGCUAAUACCGAAUGUGCUGAACAUCAUAAGAUGUUCAAGUGAAAGACGGUUUCGGCUGUCACUGUGAGAUGGACCCGCGCUGGAUUAGCUAGUUGGUAAGGUAAUGGCUUACCAAGGCGACGAUCCAUAGCCGACCUGAGAGGGUGAUCGGCCACAUUGGGACUGAGACACGGCCCAAACUCCUACGGGAGGCAGCAGUAGGGAAUCUUCGGCAAUGGACGAAAGUCUGACCGAGCAACGCCGCGUGAGCGAAGAAGGCCUUCGGGUCGUAAAGCUCUGUUGUUAGAGAAGAACAUGGGUGAGAGUAACUGUUCACCCCUUGACGGUAUCUAACCAGAAAGCCACGGCUAACUACGUGCCAGCAGCCGCGGUAAUACGUAGGUGGCAAGCGUUGUCCGGAAUUAUUGGGCGUAAAGCGCGCGCAGGCGGUCUCUUAAGUCUGAUGUGAAAGCCCCCGGCUCAACCGGGGAGGGUCAUUGGAAACUGGGAGACUUGAGGACAGAAGAGGAGAGUGGAAUUCCAAGUGUAGCGGUGAAAUGCGUAGAUAUUUGGAGGAACACCAGUGGCGAAGGCGGCUCUCUGGUCUGUUACUGACGCUGAGGCGCGAAAGCGUGGGGAGCAAACAGGAUUAGAUACCCUGGUAGUCCACGCCGUAAACGAUGAGUGCUAAGUGUUAGGGGGUUUCCGCCCCUUAGUGCUGCAGUUAACGCAUUAAGCACUCCGCCUGGGGAGUACGACCGCAAGGUUGAAACUCAAAGGAAUUGACGGGGGCCCGCACAAGCGGUGGAGCAUGUGUUUUAAUUUCGAAGCAACGCGAAGAACCUUACCAGGUCUUGACAUCCUUUGACCAUUCUGGAGACAGAACUUUCCUUUCGGGGACAAAGUGACAGGUGGUGCAUGGUUGUCGUCAGCUCGUGUCGUGAGAUGUUGGGUUAAGUCCCGCAACGAGCGCAACCCUUGAUUUUAGUUGCCAGCAUUUAGUUGGGCACUGUAAAGUGACAGCCGGUGCAAACCGGAGGAAGGUGGGGAUGACGUCAAAUCAUCAUGCCCCUUAUGACCUGGGCUACACACGUGCUACAAUGGAUAAUACAAAGGGUUGCGAAGCCGCGAGGUGGAGCCAAUCCCAUAAAAUUAUUCUCAGUUCGGAAGCAGGCUGCAACUCGCCUGCAGAAGCCGGAAUCG
rnacentral:rRNA from 1 species